CUCCUACACUCAGGACCUUCUCAGACCUUGCUCCCAUAUAUCUCUUCAUUGGGCUAUUCAUCUGUACCCUUUAUGAUAUCCUGUAUUACAUAAUAAACUGGAAGGUGAUGAAACAUCCACAUAGAACUUUGAAGAAGCCAAGGUGGCCAAGGGUUAUGCCAGUCUAUUUAUCCCAACUACAGUGGCCAGAUGUUCUAUCCUUCAUUUUUAUGAAAUAUGAGUGCUAGAGCAAACAGAAGGCAAGGAUUCUUCCCACAUGAAAUAUGAAUGGACUUGAGACCAACAACCAGCCCACAUUUUCCCUGGGGUUCAGGCUCAUGGACAACUUACACAAAGCUGGAAUGGUCUCUUGAGGCCAAAGGACAGCUGGGGGAGACCUACGGUAAUCCUUACUAUAGAAUCCAAACACUUUCCAGACCUGCUGCAGAGCCCAUUUGGACAGAUGCAGUGCUUAAUAGACAACUGAUUUCUUGCCCUGGAGGAAGAACUGGAAAGAAGUUCUCCCGUGUGGGAAGAGUUGGUGAAAAGGUGAUGAGGAAGGGUGAAGGCCACCCAGUCUGUGCACCCUUCUUCCUGUCCCAGUCACUAUAAAGCUCUGUAACAAUACCUGUGCCCCUUCCAAAUGGUUUCCUUCACUUGGAAACAAGGAUACAAUACCUACCUCA